rnacentral:tRNA from 1 species
GCGGGAGUGGUGCAAUUGGCUGACACGCCGUCCUCAGAAGGCGGAGCUUGAGGGUUCGAAUCCCUCCUCCCGUA